CUUUCAUUUGUCUGCAUACACACAACUAUACCCACAAAAGAAAUCAAAACCCAAAACUCACAUACUCUCUUUCUCCCUCUCGAUGCUACUACUGCACACCCACAUCAAAGAUUGGAGCAUCAUCUCUUCUCUCCUAUUUUUCCUUUCUUUGCAACAUAUCAAUAUAUACACACAGAAAAGACAAACACCUUCACACAAACACAGACAUAUAGUCUGUCCUCCUCACCCUCUCGAUUCCCCUCUCUCCCUCCGACGAAGACACGGCCGGCUGCCGGUCGUAUUACCGGCGGCAGAUGUUCCAACCGACGACAGAUAACCCCCCCUCUCUUGCUUUCUGUUCGGUCACCGGAGAAACAACGGACCGCCGGUCAUUCUUUUUAUCCGACGGUUCGUUCCAAGUUGACGAUGCUACGAGAAUCAGAAGGAGAGAGAGAGAGAAGGAGAGAGAAUGAUGGCGGCGGAGGCGGUGGGUCUUCACGGCGGCGACUGUAGCCUCCGGAAACGACGGCGGUGGAGGAGCCGGCGGUGGUUCGAGUGUGUUUACCGGUAAGAGGAAGGACUGGGGUACGACAGCGACGGCAGACGGAGGUGGCGUCUCCGACGCGCCUUGAUGUCGGCGGUGGUGCUUGUUCUCCGACAAUGCUACGAUGUUGUGAGAGGUUCGAUUUGUUCAUGAUGAGAUCGGGUCAGAAUGGUUUCUGUUCGGGUAUGAACGGUUUGGGUCGCGGCUGGGUUCACGACGGGUCAAGGUUUCGGGUCUGGUCAAACCUAGUAAAAACGGUCAGCGGAUCGGGUCUUGCGGUUCGUGGUUAGGGUCCGGGUCGACUCGGUCCAACCCGAGUCAACUCGGUCAACACAGUCAAAGCAAGUCAACUCAGUUGACUCGGUAAACUCAGUCAACCAUUUCCGACGAUUCGACACGAAGACUUGGUAAAAUUAUCAACGCAAUAACGCAUUUAAUCAUUUCAUUAUUUAUGGAUUACGUGAAAUACGAGCUCUCGAACCGAACAAUUUAGUAAAUUUUUAGUUAAAGAUUUACUUGGAAUUA